AUUGAACGCUGGCGGCAGGCCUAACACAUGCAAGUCGAACGGUAACAGGAAGCAGCUUGCUGCUUUGCUGACGAGUGGCGGACGGGUGAGUUAUGUCUGUGAAACUGCCUGAUGGAGGGGGAUAACUACUGGAAACGGUAGCUACUACCGCAUAACGUCGCAAGACCAAAGAGGGGGACCUUAGGGCCUCUUGCCAUCGGAUGUGCCCAGGUGGGAUUUGCUAGUAGGUGGGGUAACGGCUCACCUAGGCGACGAUCCCUAGCUGGUCUGAGAGGAUGACCAGCCACACUGGAACUGAGACACGGUCCAGACUCCUACGGGAGGCAGCAGUGGGGAAUAUUGCACAAUGGGCGCAAGCCUGAUGCAGCCAUGCCGCGUGUAUGAAGAAGGCCUUCGGGUUGUAAAGUACUUUCAGCGGGGAGGAAGGGAGUAAAGUUAAUACCUUGGCUCAUUGACGUUACCCGCAGAAGAAGCACCGGCUAACUCCGUG
rnacentral:rRNA from 1 species